rnacentral:lncRNA from 1 species
UUCCACUUCAGAAGCUUCUUAACAGCAUUCUCAGAUGUGUGAAUAUCCAUUAGUGACCCAAGGGGAUUACUCCCUGGCACCAAGUUUACCUUUACGAGAGGCCUGGACGAUGCGACUUUCCCCUCCCGGAAGCAGCCGAAAUCCUGGCACAUGUUAACUUGCUCAAAACUAAGCAAACAAAUCCUGUGAUGUUGCACUCGAGUACUCAGUGGUAAUUGCUGGCUCUAUAGGCACUCGGAAACUUUAAGAAAUGAAGAUGUGUUAUCAGCUACGAAACUUUAUAAGUGACUUUAAAGAAGGAAGAAAAAUCUUAGCUAGACUGAUUAAGAAAAGAUGCUGCCAGUUUUGAUAGAACAUUGUAUCAAACCAGCUUGGCAGACUGACCUAGAGGAACUCACUGAUCAAGAUAGAUG